rnacentral:lncRNA from 1 species
UAGAUAAUUGAUAUUAAUUAACUGCCCCUUGGAUACUUAAUGACAAAGAGUAGAUUUUAGAAAAUACACUCUUUUCCUCUUCCCCUUUAAGCUCAUUUUUGCCGUGGCUUCUAUCUGUCUUCUAUAUGCCUUAAUAAAUCAGUAGUUGUUCUCUGGAGCACUUAGCUAAAAGAUUGCCAACUCAGCAUGGGACUUUGUGGCAGAAAGAAACAUUAACCUUUCUUGAUGUAGUCAUGGGAUUUGAUAUAAUGGUAUGUUGACCUCAGAUGCACAAAUGCCAAGCAACAUUUUGUGAGUGGAAAUUGAACAAGAAUUGGUUGGUAGCUCUAAGCAUAUCCUUCAUGUAGGGCAGGCACCCAGAUGACAUCUUAUACUAUCAUUAUAGGCAAGGUAUUGGAGGUCAUGUUCUAUGAACAGCUGACACUAUUGUUACCAAGACCAUUCCUGCCAGACAUGACCUAAAAACCAGCUGUCAUUUGAUGAUCCAUGAGAAUCAGUUUCCUCUUAGGACACAAGAACGAUUCUAUUAAUUUUUAUAUGGCUUACUAUGUCAAGAGUUCUGUGUUUAUUAAAAAGUAUGUAGAGUUAGAAGCAAAAGGAUCCAUGCAAGUUCAAAGCUGGCUUGUCUCUAGAGGGUGUUUCAUGCUAACUCAGAAUAUAGAGUUAAGUUAUCUAGUAACUAAAAGAAAGAAAUUAUGAACUAAAAAAAAUAAUUACAAGUGGAAAGAUGGGCUAUCAGAAACUGUGAGCAGCGUAAUUCCAAAACCAAAGACAUGUCAGAGAG